UCCCUGAUGACUCAGUGGGUAAAGAAUCCGCCUGCAGUGCAGAAGACAUGGGUUUGAUCCCUAGUUAGGGAA
rnacentral:tRNA from 1 species